rnacentral:lncRNA from 1 species
CUUUUGUUUUCUUUUGAUUUUGCUUUUGAUUUCUUUUGAUUUCUUUUGAUUGAUUUUUUUUUCUUGGAUUUUGCACCCUCCUCUUUCUCUUUUUUUUUCUCUUUUUUUUUUUAUAAUGCCCCAGUUGGCUGUUCUGCUGAUUCUCGAGAUGCAGCUGAGUGUGAUCUUCUUUUCUUGCUCAAGAAGUCGGGAAAUCUCGUCAGGAAUCCCUUCAAUCAUCAUCUUCUUCC